rnacentral:tRNA from 1 species
AUUUUAUUAGUAUAUAAAGUAUUUUUAACUUCCAAUUAAAAGGAUUACAAAUUAAAUAAAAUA